rnacentral:rRNA from 1 species
CACGUAGGGGGCAAGCGUUGUCCGGAUUUAUUGGGCGUAAAGCGCUCGUAGGCGGUUCGGUAAGUGGGGGGUGAAACCUCCAGGCUCAACCUGGAGACGCCACCCGAUACUGCUGUGACUAGAGUCCGGUAGGGGAGCGUGGAAUUCCUGGUGUAGCGGUGAAAUGCGCAGAUAUCAGGAGGAACACCAGCGGCGAAGGCGGCGCUCUGGGCCGGAACUGACGCUGAGGAGCGAAAGCGUGGGUAGCAAACAGG